GAGGAUAUGAGCUUGACACCGCAGCUAGGCAUUUUAACUCUUAAAUACCCAAUUGAGCACGGAAUUGUCAGCAAUUGGGAUGAUAUGGAGAAGAUAUGGCAUCAUACUUUCUACAAUGAGCUUCGUGUUGCCCCUGAGGAGCAUCCUGUCCUCCUAACUGAAGCCCCUCUUAACCCAAAGGCUAACCGUGAAAAGAUGAUCCAUAUUAUGUUUGAGACUUUUAAUACCCCAGAUAUGUAUGUUGCUAGUCAGGCUGUGCUCUCACUGUAUGCCAGUGGUCGUACCACCGGUAUUGUUUUGGACUCUGGUGAUGGUGUCAGCCACACUGUCCCAAUUUAUGAAGGGUAUACCCUUCCACAUGCCAUUCUCUGUCUUGACUGGGCAGGUCGUGACCUCACUGAUAGUUUGAUGAAGAUCCUCACCAAACGUGGUUACUCGUUCACCACCUCAGCUGAGCGGGAAAUUGUCAGAGACGUGAAAGAAGAGCUUGCUUACAUAGCUCUUGACUAUGAACAGAAACUCGAGACUUCAAAGACCAGCUCUUCUGUUGAGAAGAGCUAUGAGCUCCCAGAUGGGCAGGUGAUCACCAUUGGUGCUGAGCGUUUCAGGUGUCCUGAGGUUCUUUUCCAACCUUCAAUGAUUGAAAUGGAAGCUGCAGGAAUCCACGAGACUACAUACAACUCUAUCAUUAAAUGUGAUGUGGAUAUCAGAAAAGACCAUGGAAACAUUGUGCUCAGUGGUGGAUUUACCAUGUUCCCUGGUAUUGUUGAUAGAAUGAGCAAAGAAAUUACUGCAUUGGCUCCUAGCAGCAUGAAGAUUAAGGUGGUGGACUCCACCAGAGAGGAAAUACAGUGUCUGGAUUGGAGGCUCUAUCUUGGCUUCCCUCAGCACCUUCCAGCAGAUGUGGAUUGCAAAGGCAGAGUAUGACGAAUCUGAUCCUUCUAUUAUCCACAGAAAGUGCUUCUAAUUUUUCCAAGAUUGACAAAUGUUGGUGAAAAGGAAAAAUACUUCUUAUUUCCUACUGGAUUAGAAAUGCAAUUGCAGUAUAUUCUAGCUUUAUUUUCUGUAUUUUUUGUUCUCAUGUUGGAUUGAAGAUAUUGAGAGGACAAAGGAGUUCCUUCUUGUGUGCCUACCUCCCCUCCCAGCACCAUUUUACAGUAGCUAAAGAUUGGUAAAAUCUUACUCGCCUCUGGCGUUUAUAUAUAUUAUAUUUUUACUUCAUUAAA